rnacentral:rRNA from 1 species
GUCUAUGGCCAUGCCACCCUGAACAAGCCCGAUCUCAUCUGAUCUUGGAAGCUACGCAGGGUCAGACCUGGUUAGUACUUGGAUGGGAGACCACCUAGGAAGACCAGGUGUGUAAAAA